CACGUAGGGUGCGAGCGUUGUCCGGAAUUAUUGGGCGUAAAGAGCUCGUAGGCGGUUUGUCGCGUCGGCUGUGAAAACUCAGGGCUCAACCCUGAGCCUGCAGUCGAUACGGGCAGACUAGAGUAUGGCAGGGGAGACUGGAAUUCCUGGUGUAGCGGUGAAAUGCGCAGAUAUCAGGAGGAACACCGGUGGCGAAGGCGGGACUCUGGGCCGAUACUGACGCUGAGGAGCGAAAGCGUGGGGAGCAAACAGG
rnacentral:rRNA from 1 species